AAGUAAAACAUUACCACAUUUACAAUAAAAAAAAAAGCCACUGUCACAACUCUCGCUGCUGAAUGCCUUGAUUGACAGGCUGCUUCAGGAUGGAAUGCAGGAGCUUCUUUAUGAGAUCAGCACCAUCAGAAAAGUAAAAGGAGACAUACAGGAGCUAGACUCAAACAGCAUUACUGCAUACACCGUGAGUAGCCUCCUGAACUUAUGAAACAUCUCAGAUAAACAAAUUACUAUAAUAUCAUAAAAAAACUCUGAUUACUAGUCAGGUAGAUUUUGGGUUUAUGAUCCACAUCCACUAUCAGCAAUAAUGUUCUUGCUGUAUUAAGCCUAUUUUGAAUCAUAAGACCUAAUCCACAGAGCUCACCCACAAGAGUCAUUAUCUGAUACGGAUUUGAUUGAGGAAGAGUCUGAUCUUGAAGAGGGGCCUGAAUCAAGUCCUGUAUGCAAACAUUCAUUCCUGUAUCAGUAAUUACAGCAUCAUUUUCCAUAAUCCAUUUCUAACCGAACAUCAACACACUUUAUUCAGUUUUUUUUUCAGAUAUACUUGACUGAUUUGUUCUGAUAUAGUGUUCUAAUCAGCAUUUAAUGCAAGCAAUACAGCUGUCAUUGUUUUUAAUGUGCCUUCAGUGUCUUGUCUUGUCAUUGUAAGAAGCCUGUAGUAGAAAAAGAAGUGGGUAAUACCCUUUUGAACAUCUCUACUAUUCACAAAAAGGCUGACCUGAGUAAAACCAAAGACAAACUGGUAGUUGUCGAAGAAAAGAAACUGGUGGAGACCAGCUUCAGUGAUGUAACACCUUUGAAAUUUCUCCAAACCAACACUUCCUCUGAGAGGGAAGAUCAAGACAACAUGGAAGAAGAGGUUGAGGAAGCAUCGUCUGACGAUGAGGAAUAUGAAUAUGAGCUAAAAUACUCAGCAACAACAGCUACAUACACACAAGAAAAUGAGGUAAGAAAGUCUGCUAAACCUUUCUUUUUAAUAUUACUAAUAAUUUUAAAUGGUUAUGGUUGAAUAGGAUGCCAUUGAAAAAAUGUGCUAUUUAAAAAUUUCUACAAUUUACACAGGGUGAGAUGACAACUCCGAUUACACAGUCUUUAGAGGAGAUUACACUGGUAAGAAUAUACACUACCAUUAUACAGUUUGGGUUUAAAAANUAAACUUUAACAUGUUCAAAUGCAU
ensembl:lncRNA